rnacentral:ncRNA from 6 species
UAAACGGCGGGAGUAACUAUGACUCUCUU